UCAAAUCGCUCAAACAUGUCGCUGUCGGAUCUAUGGGUACAGUGUCUACUAUGGGGAAACCUGUGAGAAAACUCUAGGGCUGGAGCACUGCUACGCGCCGCUACAGUGGUUACAGUUGGAGCACUAGCACAGUUCAGCACUAGCAUAUUUCCUGACAGCAAAGCCACUGUAGCGCUAAAGCGGCCAGUGCUCAGCCUGGCCGGCUUGCAGAGUUUUCGUACAUGUGUGCAUGUAUUACCAGGGACGAAACAGGACAGCAGAGACAAGCUCUUGUCGCUGAUUACCGGCGCCCUUAUCGUCCUACGUUCGUAGUGUGGGCGCGCUAUACGUACUAUGGGAACAGUUGAUUGAGGUAAGGUUAUGGCAGAAACUUGAGAAUAGCACUCGCCAAGUUACGCGGGUGAUGUUCCAAAAUGGCACAAAAACGUCUGACUUCGUCAUCCCUACGUCUGUGAGUUGGUUCCCAGGCCAGCCAUCAUGGCACCAUUUUCAAGGCCUAGGCCCUCUAAAUUCUGGUGAAAGGGUUUCAGCCAUUUGGCUUUAACACGAUGCGAAUCUUUGGCUGAAGCCGAACACUAUUUACCAUCAUGGUGGAAGGCGACUGACAUCAUUACAAUGGGAAAAUCAACUCCAAAAAGCCACCCGAAGAGCAUGAAGCAUGUGUUCAACUAAGCAGCUGCUUAGCUUCUAGACAUUGAAGCGAAGGUGAAGGAGACUUCACUUUUUUCCAGUGCAUGUGUACGAAUAAGCCUUUCACUUCUUCCUACUGGCUUCACUUAUAUCCUUUCAACUUGGUGCUGAUUUAUGGAUGACCUGCAGAGCAUGGCGUGGAGACCAACGAUGCAGUUGAUCUUGGGACUCUUACAAGGGGUGGCUGGAAUCAUGCCACUUUUCUAAACAAACACGUUACUGCCUGGCCGCUGCACUUUAAAGGGACACUAAUGAGAAAGAUCAUUUGACCUGCAUUAGUGUAAAUUGUCCUUUUACAACACCAAAAACACUACUCUUACCGCAAGAAGAUGCUCGGUAAGCCAAAAAAGGCGCAAGAAAAGAAAGUCGGGUGGCGACACAGCCUUGAAGUUUUGGCACCAGCUCAUUGUGACAUCAGAGAUUUUGACGUCUGCUGGGCCUAGUUAAUUUUUCAUUGUUAAAAAUGGGCUACAUUGUGUCCUAAAAGAGGCAGAUACUGAAUUUGGCAAGUUUGGAGAACAUUUAUUGCUGUGUCACCACGACCCAACUACGAGAAAAUACUUUGAAAUCAAUGACGAAGCAAUAAGGUUUUAAUGUGGCCAUAGUGUUUUUUUGUCCAAUAAUCAACCUCUUGCUAGUUACAUUAAUGAAAAUGUUGUUUUGAAAGGAUGCUUUGUCUGUGUUAGCUGAACCUGUGUUCUUCUAUAGUGUCCUUUUAAACAUGGUAAACUGACUGCACCAUGUGGACGUGCAGAGGUUACAGUGUCAACACAUGGAGCAUAAUUUAGCACUUUCACGCAAUAGAAGCUUGUCUUCCUUGUAGCUGCAUCUAAAAAAAUUAAAUGUUGUUUAUUGUCUUGUGCUUGUUUUGCAUCACAUGAUAAUACCAUGUCAUGAUAAUAUCAUCGCAUGGUAAUAGCAUCACAUGAUACUUAAUAAAUAAAUAAAUAUGACUUAAAUUCUCCUUGCAGUAUACUGUAAAUGUACAGCGCUCAAGGAUUGAAACGUGAUACUUGGAGCACCUGGUGGCCGGUUCUUUUUGCGCGACUGGUGAGCUCUGGUUUGAUCGCUGAUCAGCCACCGAACACAGCCAAAAUGCAUUGAAAAGGCUCGCAUUUUCAUGUAAUGGCAAGAAUACAUCGGCUUGGUGACCCCACAGCCACCCCUAGUGCAAAAAUGUGCCAUCAGCCAUUUGCUCCGAGUAUGGAGUUCCAAUCGCUGAGCACUGUACGUCUGGAGCUGUAUAAAGCCAAAGGAUGACCUAAAUGAGUACAAGAUGAGUGGAAACAGCACAAACAAGUGAUAAUUACAAAGUGAUCAUGUGGCUUUUUGAAUCGGGUAGUGCUUGUUUUCAUUGACACUUAGCAUCCUAACGGUUUCAGUUACUUGAAAAGGAAUUUCUUUUUUUAUAUAUAUAACCACACAUAUUAACUCCCUCUGUAUUAUGUUAUACCGAAUUUUGCAGUGCCCAACUUUGAUGUGUUUAAACAUAACACUGUAGUGUCCGAAGUUUAAUACAUUGACGCUGGCUUUGGUGUUCUUUCAUGUGGCCUUAUUGUGUGCCAUUCAUGCUAGCCUGUUUUAAAUGCUGCUUGUAUUAUCUUGUCUUUUUGUUCUGAAGCUCAUUCUGUUUAUGGUGACUUGCACAAUCUUUGCAACCUAUGUCAGUACGAUCUUACUGAUGCAGCUGCGACUUCCACGACACCAGCUUAUGGUGCUUCGUUGUAAAGUAUGUAUUGUUAGCGUCCUGUACGCUGUGAAAUCUUUGAGUUGCAGCCGCCUUAUGCUCACAGCAGUGCUGAUUUGAAUAGUUGUGCCCUAAAUAAUGCUGCAAAGUUUGCAAAUAGUACCCUGGACUGAUGGACCACAUCUGUACUUAACCUGACUCUCUCUUUAACUACUGAUCCUAACAGUGUACCUAGCAUAGCCUUGUAACCAUUUUUCAUGCUUAUUACAAUCUCUUAACAGUUUUGGUGCAAUUUCAGAUUAAGAGUACUUGUUUUGGUUCGGAGCAAUGCAGUUCUAUCUACUUCUCACUCCAUGUGCCGUGGUAUAAUGUAAACGACUUCAUUACAAGAAAGCCAAUUUCCUGGUUCAUCUUUUUCUUGAUGCUGCAGUUUCUUGGAGGCUCUGUGUUCUUCCUCUGCUGUUCUCCCUAAAAGUUCAGUGUGAAGUUUUGAAUACUCGAUGCCUGAAGUCAGCUUGUUCAUGAUCUAUAUAAGAAAAUACAGGCAUACGACAAGCAACAUGUGGAUCUGUCUAAAUUACGUAAACAUGCACUGGAAGUACUGCAGACUUCGCUAUAAACAGGACGACUUACCGUUUCAUUGCCAUUGCCCCAGUUGCAGCAUCAAGCAUUCUACUCGGACAUUCAAAUUAAGUGCGAAAAUUCCCAUGACUCUACAGCAGAAGCCAACGACAACGGCAUAUGUGCGAAUUUAGUGCCAACUGUGCUGCCAGAUGAGGGUGCCAUCACAAGUGAAGCCAGCGAGCGCUCGCGCCGUAACAAGUGCAUAUAUUCUUGUCCAUAUUGCCCUUACGUUGCACGGAGUUCGCACUUGACUGCACACAUGCGUGUCCAUACUGGUGAGAAACCAUUCAAAUGCAACGUCUGUUCAGCUUGCUUCACCACGAAAUCAAACCUGUCACGGCACGUGAGGGCUCAACUAUGCGGAAAGCCAUUUCCAUGAUCCGUCUGCAACUAGCGGUUCAACACCAAGUGCACAAGAAGUGAUUAGCUUGAUGUGUUCCAACUCCCUGAAAGAAGGUGGACUGUGCUGGGUGGCAGCAAGGCCUGUUCACACAGCCAUCAACUGCGAGUGUGCUUGAACAGCAAAGAAGGCUCAAGUUUCGAACAAGCAUUUCAGUCGUAUGUUCGUGGAGUGGUUGUGUAAUAGCAUGACAUUAUAAAAAGUAUCUGCCAAAGACGCUCACCAAUAGACUGUUUAUUAGAAAACCACUUAUGUGAAGAAGGUGUGGUGCUUCAAGCUGUGCUGUGAGGACCCCUUUGGUUGCAGUGCAAUGUUUUACUGUGCCAGGCAGUUUUAAAGUAGGAAACAGUUGCUGUUUCUGUAAUUUGGUGAGUCCGUUGCGCUCGGUGGUGUUUGGAUGCGCUGACGCAGAUGUCACUUAAGUUGCAGCAGUUUGGAACUCCAGUUUGUGGGAAGAGCUAGUGUGGAUAUGUUUUUCCAUGUGGUGACGUGGAUGCCAAUUUCGAAAUGCAUCACUUAUACAGUUCUGUGUACACAUGCAUCAGAGAUAAAAAGUUCAUGUUUGCCACAGCCAAGGUCUUUUUCGUUGGCUCGCCAACACUGUUAAAAAGCAUGCUGUUCUACUGUGAGGAAAUGGUUGAAAGCAUAGUGAAAGAGUUGCACUGAAAAAUUCUCAGAACCUAUGAAUGAAGGCUGAGAAAUAAAGCAAGGACUUCAAAGUGUGUCCUUUGAGUCGUUUCGUAUUUCACAAUUCAAAAUGGACAAGGCUUGCCUGAGGGGUUGUCGAGUGAAAGUAUGGAGUAGAUGGCGGAGUACAAGAUGUGGAGAGGUGGUCGAAAAGGUGUGAUUGCCGAGGUACUGCGCACUCUGUGGGGAGGAGGUGCAGCAUUAAAGAAGGAGUCACAUGGCACAGUGCUCGACUCAGUUGCAAAAAUGUGUUGCAUUUUGCUCAGUAAUGAAAAAAAAGCUUGUUGUCUUGUACACUGACAUCCUUGUGGAGAUGCAGAAAAGUAUAUUAUUGAGGCAUGGCUGCACGUGAGAAAAAGCACUUGCUCAAUCCCUAUUGUUUCGUGCCCCCUCAAUUUUUGCGACAGCAUGAAAAUUUUUGUCGAAUACA